rnacentral:rRNA from 1 species
CAGUCGCCACGGUAAUGCGUAGGGUGCGAGCGUUAAUCGGAAUUACUGGGCGUAAAGCGUGCGCAGGCGGUUGUGUAAGACAGGUGUGAAAUCCCCGGGCUUAACCUGGGAACUGCGCUUGUGACUGCACAGCUAGAGUAUGGCAGAGGGGGGUGGAAUUCCACGUGUAGCAGUGAAGUGCGUAGAGAUGUGGAGGAACACCGAUGGUGAAGGCAGCCCCCUGGGCCAAUACUGACGCUCAUGCACGAAAGCGUGGGGAGCAAACAGGAUUAGAUACCCGCGUAGUCCCUGUCUCUUAUAC